rnacentral:rRNA from 1 species
UACGGAGGGUGCAAGCGUUAUCCGGAUUUACUGGGUUUAAAGGGUGCGUAGGUGGGCAGUUAAGUCAGUGGUGAAAUCUCCGAGCUUAACUCGGAAACUGCCAUUGAUACUAUCUGUCUUGAAUUAUCUGGAGGUGAGCGGAAUAUGUCAUGUAGCGGUGAAAUGCUUAGAUAUGACAUAGAACACCAAUUGCGAAGGCAGCUCACUACGGGUAUAUUGACACUGAGGCACGAAAGCGUGGGGAUCAAACAGGAUUAGAUACCCUGGUAGUCCACGCCCUAAACGAUGGAUACUCGACAUCAGCGAUACACUGUUGGUGUCUGAGCGAAAGCAUUAAGUAUCCCACCUGGGAAGUACGAUCGCAAGAUUGAA